CCAGUAGUCAUAUGCUUGUCUCAAAGAUUAAGCCAUGCAUGUCUAAGUUCACACCCUCGUACGGUGAAACCGCGAAUGGCUCAUUAAAUCAGUCGAGGUUCCUUAGAUGAUCCAUUUCUACUUGGAUAAGUGUGGUAAUUCUAGAGCUAAUACAUGCCCAACAGCUCCGACCCCGGGCUUCACGGUUCGGGGAAAGAGCGCUUUUAUUAGUUCAAAACCAGUCGGGGGUUUCGGCCCUCGUGCUUUGGUGACUCUGGAUAACUUUGAGCCGAUCGCAUGGCCUCGAGCCGGCGACGCAUCUUUCAAAUGUCUGCCCUAUCAAAUGACGACGGUACGUGAUCUGCCUACCGUGUUGACUACGGGUAGCGGGGAAUCAGGGUUCGAUUCCGGAGAGGGAGCAUGAGA
rnacentral:rRNA from 1 species